GGGCGGGUAGCUCAGCUGGUUAGAGCAUCGGUCUUACAAACCGGGGGUCGGGGGUUCGAAACCCUUCCCGCCCA
rnacentral:tRNA from 1 species